rnacentral:tRNA from 1 species
ACCAAGAGACGUAUAAACAACCAGAACUGCUAAUUCCGGCCCCCAAGACUAAAAUUCUUGGGUCUCUU